AAUGUUAAGAUUAGCCAUGCAUGUCUAGUAUAACCCUUUGCACUGUGAGACUGCGACGGCUCAUUAUAUCAGAUACUGUUUAUUUGAUAGUGCCUACUACUUGGAUUACCGUAAUAAUUCUUAAACUAAUACCUGCCAAAAGCCUGCACUUCUGCAACAAGCGUAUUUAUUAAAUAUACAUACCCACCGCUUCUGCGACCUUGGGUGACUCAUAAUAACUUCCCUAAUCAUACGCUUCGGCCACUAUGAUUCAUGGAAUUUCUGCCCUAUCCCCUUUUGAUGGUAGGGUAUUGGCCUACCAUGGCCCUAACGGGUAACGGAUAAUUAAGGUUCGAUUCCAGAUAGGGAACCUGAAACACGGCUACCACAUCCAAGGAAGGCAGCAGGCGCGCAGAUUACCCAAUCCUGACUCAGGGAGGUAGUGACAAUAAAUAACAAUACUGGACUUUUUCAAGCCUAGUAAUUGGAAUGAGAACAAUUUAAAUCCCUUAUCGAGUAUC
rnacentral:rRNA from 1 species